rnacentral:rRNA from 1 species
ACGUAGGGGGCAAGCGUUGUCCGGAAUUACUGGGUGUAAAGGGUGUGCAGGCGUCUUGCUAAGUUGGUUGUGAAAUCCCGGAGCUCAACUCCGGAGCUGCAUCCAAUACUGGCAGGAUCGAGGUUAUGAGAGGGAAGCGGAACUCCCGGUGUAGGGGUGAAAUGCGUAGAGAGCGGGAAGAACACCAGAGGCGAAGGCGGCAUCCUAACAUAAUACUGAGGCUCAGGUGCGAAAGCUAGGGGAGCAAACAG